AUGAAAGAAACUAUGAAAGUUGUGAGGAAUAUGGAGGAAAAUGAAGGAGAAGAGUGUGAGGACAGCAACAAAACAGAUGCAGGUGAAGGAAAGAGUGAAGAUGUUGAGGAAGAUGCAAAAGCUGGAUCUGUAGAGGAAUGUAGUGAUGGGAACGGAGAACAAAAACAAGUGAACACGACUGAAAGAAAACAAGAUUUAGAUGAAAAUAGUGGAGAUUGUGAGGAAAAUGCAAAAGAUGGACCUAAAGAAGAAGCCAAAAGACACGAUUUAGAGAAAAACAGUGGAGAAUGUGAAGAAGGAGAUGAAGGACAUGCAAAAGAAGAAGAACAAGAAGCUAAAAGACAAGAAGAUUUAGAGGGAAAUAGUGGAGAAUCUGAGAGGGUAGAUGAGGAACUUACAAAAGAAGGAGAACAAGACAAAAACGAAGCUGAAAGAAAAGAAGAUUUAACAGAAAAUAAUGGAGAAUGUGAGGAAAAUGCAAAUGAUGGACCUAAAGAAGGAGAACAAGACAGAAACGAAGCUGAAAGACAAGAAGAUUUCGAGGAAAAUAGUGAAGAAAAUGUAAAAGAUGGAUCAAAAGAAGAAGCCAAACAAGAUUUAGAGAAAAACAGUGGAGAAUGUGAAGAAAUAGAUGAGGAGCAUACAAAAGAAGGAGAACAAGACCAAAACAAAGCUGAAAGACAAGAAGAUUUAGAUGAAAAUAGUGGAGAUUGUGAGGAAAAUGCAAAAGAUGGACCUAAAGAAGAAGCCAAAAGACAAGAUUUAGAGAAAAACAGUGGAGAAUGUGAAGAAAUAGAUGAGGAACAUGCAAAAGAAGAAGAACAAGAAGUUAAAAAUUCAAAGGAGAAUAAUGGAGAAUCUGAGAGUGUAGAUGAGGAGCAUACAAAAGAAGGAGAACAAGACCAAAACAAAGCUGAAAGACAAGAAGAUUUAGAGGAAAGCCGUGAAGGAAACUCUGAGGAGGACGUGAACGUAAAAACAGAAAGUUCUGCUGAGGGAGAUCUUUCUCCUGAAGGUGGAGAUGAUCCGGAAAAGUCCACACUCGUGCAGCGUCCAGACAAGAUGCAACACGAACAAACUGAAAGCAAAGAGGCGCCUCGCAAACGUUCUCCACGCAAAGCUGCGAAUGCCACGAAAGCGGUUCCUGCCGUCCCUCCCAGACCUCAGACCUCCAAACUCACAGCGUUCACGCUCAGAAAACAGCUUCAGCACCGACAACACGAUGAUAAAGCAGCGCAAGCCGACCAAGAACACGCAGCGGAAACUAAAACGGCACACAGAGACGAGGACGAAAGCGCAGAGAUCGACACCGAGGGUCCCGGAGAGAGACGAGAAGCAUGGGACGGUGGAGCGGAUCGCAGGAGAGACGCAGACAGAGAGGCCAAGAGGAACAGCGGCAUCAGCAUGUGCUUCGAUGAAGCUGUGGCUCGAGCCACGGAGAAGAGGAGCCGAGAGAGAGAAAGCACAGAGAGACUGUCUGGAGUGCAGUUGGACAGAGAGAGCCAGAAAGACGGGAAAACUGACUGA
rnacentral:lncRNA from 1 species